CAGCAGCCGCGGUAAUACGAAGGGGGCUAGCGUUGUUCGGAAUUACUGGGCGUAAAGAGCGCGUAGGCGGCCAUUCAAGACAGAUGUGAAAUCCCCGGGCUCAACCUGGGAACUGCAUUUGUGACUGGAUGACUAGAGUACGGCAGAAGGGGAUGGAAUUCCGCGUGUAGCAGUGAAAUGCGCAGAUAUGCGGAGGAACACCGAUGGCGAAGGCAAUCCCCUGGGCCUGUACUGACGCUCAUGCACGAAAGCGUGGGGAGCAAACAGGAUUAGAUACCCCUGUAGUCCCUGUCUCUUAUAC
rnacentral:rRNA from 1 species